ensembl:antisense
AAGAUCAAAGAAUUCACGGCUGCUGAUGUAGACUCUACCUUCAUUGAAAAUUUGGACAAUUACACAGAACAGCUCAUCCAUUAAUUUCACAAAAAGCGGGGAAGUGCAGGAUGCAAAAUCUGUGAUGUGAUGAAAUUGCUGGAACAGUGUGGAAAUUCUCUGGGAGGUGGUGAUAUGCUGUCUGACUGUGUACCUGUCUGAGAACCUCGAGAAGCUGAUUACAUAUUACCUGGACAUUGUGUGGAAACGGACCAGCUGGACAUUGGAGAGCACAUACCAAAAACUGUGACCAUACACACACAUACACUACGGACAAUUUAGCCUACCCAAUUUACCUGUACCGCAUGUCUUUGGACUUGUGGGGGAAACCGGAGCACCCAGAGGAAACCCAAAUCAACACGAGAACAUGCAAA